rnacentral:rRNA from 1 species
UACGUAGGGUGCAAGCGUUAAUCGGAAUACUGGGCGUAAAGCGUGCGCAGGCGGUUCUAUAAGACAGAUGUGAAAUCCCCGGGCUCAACCUGGGAACUGCAUUUGUGACUGUAGAGCUGGAGUACGGCAGAGGGGGAUGGAAUUCCGCGUGUAGCAGUGAAAUGCGUAGAUAUGCGGAGGAACACCGAUGGCGAAGGCAAUCCCCUGGGCCUGUACUGACGCUCAUGCACGAAAGCGUGGGAGCAACGGG